UGAAGGUGAAGCCCAAAAUGAAGACUGCAG
rnacentral:piRNA from 1 species